rnacentral:rRNA from 1 species
GGGGGCAUUAAUAUUUAAUUGUCAGAGGUGAAAUUCUUGGAUUUAUGAAAGAUUAACUUCUGCGAAAGCAUCUGCCAAGGAUGUUUUCAUUAAUCAAGAACGAAAGUUAGGGGAUCGAAGACGAUCAGAUACCGUCGUAGUCUUAACCAUAAACGAUGCCGACCAGCGAUUAGGAGACGUUGAAUACAAAACACCACCAUCGGUGCGGUCGUCCUUGGCGUCUCGGUCCUUCACGGGGCCGGGGCGCGGGGGCGGCUUAGCCCGGUGGCACCGGUGAAUGACUCCCCUAGCAGCUUGUGAGAAAUCAUAAGUCUUUGGGUUCCGGGGGGAGUAUGGUCGCAAGGCUGAAACUUAAAGGAAUUGACGGAAGGGCACCACCAGGAGUGGAGCCU